ACAUUUUUAUUCAAAAAUACUUGUGGUUUUUGUUGCAGUUGGUACACCUUAUUAUAUGUCUCCGGAGAGAAUACAUGAAAAUGGUUACAACUUCAAAUCUGACAUCUGGUCUCUGGGCUGCCUGCUGUAUGAGAUGGCUGCACUGCAGAGUCCCUUUUAUGGUGAUAAAAUGAACUUGUACUCGCUGUGCAAGAAGAUAGAGCAAUGUGACUAUCCACCUCUCCCUUCAGAUCACUAUUCAGAAGAACUGCGACAAUUAGUUAAUAUGUGCAUCAACCCGGAUCCAGAGAAGCGACCAGACAUAACCUAUGUCUAUGAUGUAGCGAAACGUAUGCAUGCACACACUGCGAGCAGCUAAACAGACAUCAGAUCCCGAAGAUCAGAAAUGUUCAAAUAUUUUAAAUAAAUCAUCCCACCUCUUUGCAUUACAAAAAUGUAAUUAUUUGAAGCUUACUGUUGUGCUUUGUGAACCCAUUUAUAUACGACCUUCAAUAUUUUGUUUUUUUUUUACUUUUUACCAACUUGCAGUUUUAACAGAUUAAAAUAUGUAAAGCGUAACUUCAAAAGAUAUUGAGAGCUGCUGUUUUCCACAUUAAGUGAGUUCAAGUAUGUUUUCUUUACUGACAAAUGUGUUCAGUUAGGCCUCAGUUCUAAAACACGGUUGCACUUUUGCACAGGAUACAGAUAUUGGGCUUAUGUAUAAGCAAAAUGUCUGAAUCUCUCACCUUUUUAGUAAUUUAUAGUAAAUAUGAAUCUGCACAGUUAUGUUUAUUUUAAUCUUAGUUCUAAACGGGGUAUAUAAUUAUUAUAGAAGGCUAUUGUAUUUUAUACUGAAUUAUAGUUUAGAGUCUCAGCACAUGAGUAGACAGAUUACAUGAUUAGUUCUGUGCUUGCCAAACGUGAUGCAAAAAUAGUUAGUGGAAAAAAACCAUACACUGAAAUUAUUUCAAUGUCCCUUUUCAUUUUGCUAUUCUGUCAUAAUGCACAUAAAACAUUUGUUGGAGGUUUUAUGGGAAAAUUUAAGGUGUUGAUUCUGCAGUUUGAUCAUUUUCAAUAGGCUUGUACAGCGCAGCCCUGGGGCAAUGUGAGUGUGCAUAGCUGAGUGUUAAAACCAUGCAGAUGCUGCUUGUAGCGAAUAGCGUUCUUUGGAGGCUAGCAUGUAUGAGAAGAUCUGAUUAAAAGCUGCGAUCUUUAAGUUACCAAUUUCUAUUUCUGUAAAUGUCACUGUUUGUAGAUUUUUGUAUUUAAAAUAAUUUGACAUUACAAUACUGUAUUUAAAGAUGCUUUUAAAAUACCAAAAUCUUUUUGGAAAAUAUAUAGCUGUGUACUAAAGCACAAUAUAUUCUUCACGAAUAUCAGAUUUUGUAUAUUGUAUCCUAAGAAGUAGCUUUAUAUUUAGCAAAAGUAAAUUUUAGCAUUUAUGUUUCAGAGAAAGUUGCCACUUCCAUUUCGGAAAUAAGUAUUGAUGCAAAAUACUUCAUUAUUGAAAAAGAGAUUUUAUGAAAACCUGUCUAGUAUGCUUAAUAAUGUUUUCAUUGUUAAGGAAAAAAGGGUGUUCAAAAAUAGAGAUAGGACUCAAAUUUCUUGAAUAUCAAGACUAAACUCUUUUUGAGAAUACAUAACUGUCAAAACAGAAUUCUUAACAAUGAGAUUGCUAAGAAGUUGUUACUGACAAUUAAACCUUUUUUAAUGUAGGUAAAAAGAAGUUAGUUUAGAGAAAAUAACAAUACAUACAUCCACACAACACGGUUUCUAUAUGUAGUCAGUUCCCUGCACUUUUUGUUUUGUUUGUUUUUUUCCUACGUGCAGCUUUUUAUUAGAUGUAAUGCUCAAAGAAUAUCCAAAUGUGGGAAAUCUGGAGUUAGGUCAGUUGUGCUUUGGGUAGGUGUUUUUUUUUUUUUUAAAUUAGAAAUACUGUGGAAAUUCUGUUUGCUAAAAUGCAGGAGUUUUUAAACAGUAUGUGCCACAUCUUCAUCUUAGUACGUUGUUUUUCUGUUGUUUUAAUUUCCAGACUUGGUAGAACAAGUCUUUAAUUUUCCUUCUUCCUGCCGUAUUUACUUGAUCCAGUCUUGUAGGACUCCAGUGGAACAAUGUAUGGGAAGAAGGUGUUUGAGAAACCUUGGUUUGUGUUUAACAACUUCUAUAUUUGCAUUCAUGUAUUAUCUGAUAACUGUGUUGUAAACAAAUGAUGGUUAUAUUCUAGUUCAGAUUCAGAGUGAAAUGGUUUGUAUUGACAAAGGCAGCGCAGUAUUUGCUUGACUGCUGCAAUUGGUUUUUAAUAUGCACAAGUGCUCCAAUCAUUCUCUGAAAUGGGCUAGAAUAUUCCAAAGUCACUGACAAAAAACCAACGCAAUCAGGCUGUAUGCAUCUAAUAUUAUGUGUCAAGUAUUAUUACUUUGCCUGAAAGUAACCAAUGAUAGAUUAUUUUUUUCAUUUUCUGGAAGGAUAUGUCGAGUAAAGAAAUGAUGAGUUAAAAGUUAGCAAAUGUUUAAUUCAUUGGUAUGAGUGUGGUUUUUUUUGUAUUGCUAAUUAAAUUUUGUGCUCAGUAAAAGAAGCAGUUGUUUCUAUUUUAAAAACUGUAGAAUAAAUGGUACAAAUGACUUGGGUCCUGAAGUUUGUAUUUGAGAGGUCUGUAUGGGUUAACAGAAUUGCUUGUAUAACUGAGGUUCUAGAAUCCAUCCCAUAAGUAAAGCACCUAGUAAUGUAUGAAAACAAUAAUGUCUGUUGUAAUAAUUCCAUGUGUGCUAUACAUUUUAUAAAAUGUUUCCUGUUAUAGAAAUGUCAUUCUAUUUUUCAUCUUUCGUUGUUGGUGAGGUUUGACACUAUUUAUUUAAAACUAUGCCAUUACAUGUUUGUUUUCUUUAAAAUGAACCCGUUAUAUUUCUAAGCAAAAUAGUCUGACUUGCAUCCCUUUUAUUUCAGUAGUACUACAGUAUUAACGUGUUUCAUGACUGAACUUUGUGCGUUUGAUGACACUGCAUUAAAAUCUCAUCUACUAUCUUGAAAGCUCCCCUGCUGUGCAGUAGCCUAAUAAAAUAAACCAUACAGAUAUCAAUUAUGGUGUAAAAAUAACAGUGGUUCUAUGAUAUUUUUCCAACUUUUCUUAUUACAGAUAUGCUACAGUAUUUGCUGCCGGUCUUGCAGUCAGUUUACUCUUUCCAGUAUUUAAUUAUAGGUGAGUGUUCUAGAAUCAUAAUGGUAGAAAGUACAUCCAAAAACUUUGUCAUCCAUUUGUCAAAAAUUUUAUCUAAAAACACUGCAGUAGUUAUUUUCAUAAUGAAUUAUAAACUGUGCUUUUAUCUAAAAUUACUCUGAAACAACAUGGAAAUACCUAAAGGGCUAAGAAUAAGGAAAAGCUCCUAUUUGUGACCCCAGCUUUUUUGAGCUCCUGUCAGCUCCUGUUUACAGGGAGAGCAUUAAUUUUUUUAAUGGAAUUUCAGUAAUUUUUAGGGAAUUUGUUUGCUCACAAUGAAUAAAUAGGUAUCAGUAGAGUAUCUAUAAAUCAUGUGCUCUGCUCUUUUUUUUUUUUGUAUGUCUUUGUUUUGGUAGGACAAACUUAAUGUAUUUUUCCCACUUCUCUUCAACUUCAGUGAUCCAGUAACUCAUUGUACAAGCAGGCAAUAGAAGUAUGUGUUCUUCUUGUAAUGAGCUGAAACUUUAAAAACAUGCCAAUAUGCAGGAAGAUGAAAUACAGCAUUAGAUGUGUCUGAGCAGGCUAGUGUUUUAUUCAUGCACACGAUUAAGACAGCCAUAAAGAGUGAAAUUGUUGACAGAGUCUUGGAAAUGGAAAGGGACUUCUAUUGCCAGUGGUUCUCAGCUAUCUCUGAAUGGGACCCAAAAGUGCAGUGAUGUUUGCUUUCAACAAACCAUCCACUUGGUCUCUGUCUUGGCAGUUAUCCAGAGAGAAGAGAAUCUUAAUGGCUGAAUUUGAAUGCUGAUGGCAAUUGCUGUGUCAGGUAUUUGUGCUUUUAGGAACCAGAGGUUUAUGUGAAAGGAAGACAACAAGGGCCUUCAGCUCAUGUUUUGUAGAGGGAUAGUUGAGUCUGGAAGUAAAGGUGCUGAAUAGCAGAGUUGAAAUAGCUUCCCCCUACCCCCAUCAUUUUAAUACCAUUUUAGCAGUCUAAUGUUUUCCAAACCUGCCACGUCCCCAUAUCAGCUAAUAGCCAGUGACAGUGCUGAUCUUCUGGAUUCUGAUCUUUGGUUUGAUCUGGAUGAAUAACUAAAUUUUCCUGCUGAGAUCACUGAAGGGGGAAAUGCGGGCACUGGGCAUACCCAGUGAUGUGUUACUUAAUUGCCAAAUGUGAUUCAAAUAGAGAUUUUAAAGGUUUUUUCCAGUCUUCGCUCCUUUCCCUAUAUCUUGCUCCUCAGAUUUUUGUUCUUGAUUUUCGUAUUCUUUCAUUGCCUCUGCUUCAUCUUCCCUGUUGUCUCUUCAUCUCUCUUUUGAACUUGAAGUUCUUUUUUUUCCAAAUGGCCAAUAGUUCCAUUCUUUCUUUGACUUUGCUAAAAUCCACCCACUCCUACCUUCCCAAAUUUUAUCCGUAAUCAUAGGCAAACUCAAUGUUUAGUUUUUGUUUUUGUUCUGAUCACUACUUAGCUCCAUUGUUCUUCAUUCAAUUUUUCUAGCUGCCACUUUGAUUUCCUGUUUUAGACAGAUGUUUUCACAGCCUCAGUCAUUCCCAUGACCUCGUCUUUACUAAAUACUGUGUGCUUUAUUAUCUCUCAUUUUUAAAUUCCUUUUCUCUGAUCACUACCUGCUCUCUUUCAGCAUAUCUGUCUUUAUCUCUCCUUUACCCUGUCACUCACUCCUUUUGGGAUCUCCAGUCUAUUAACCUUUCUGACUCUUUUACUUUUCUCAGAUGCUUCCUUCCUUCACUGGCCUUACCUCCUUUGACUCACUGGUCUUUAUUUUCAUCUCUGUCUGCUUCCCUGUAUGUGGUUUCUUUGGUUGCUUCUCGCAGUGCCCUGUCUCUAAUACCUUCCCUAGACAUCUUUUCAUGUUAUUUCUUAAUUUCCAUUCCUCCUUUUCUGAAUAUUGUUGAAGAACGGCAGCACAACAAAGCUUUGGGCUGAGCUCUGCCUUACCUGUUCUAUUUCUCCUUCCGAAUGGACUUUUUAACCACUUGGGUCACGUCUUUUUUUUCUUGAUGAGUUUGCUUCCAGGUUUGCUUUUCAUUUUAGGUUUUAUGUGUUUGUUUUUCUACUUCCCCAGAUUGUUCUGCUUUCUUAGAAUCUGUUCCUGAUCCAGGCCUCUGCCUCUAACCUGUGAGAGUUUGUCCCUUAAAUUUCUGCAGCUCUCGUUCAUUUACUCUUUUCUUGAUCGACUUUCGUGAAUGACUCCUUCACUAGUAGCCAAAUUUCUCUUUCGCUCUCAUCUUGAAGUGUGUGGCUCCUCUCAUCUUAACUGCUUCUCUGUUUAAUACUUUUUUCCUUUAUUCCCCAUCUAGCAUCCCCUUAUUCUAUGUACCUGAAUGUCCUCUCUCUGUUUUUGUUUUCGUGUCUUUUGUUUUGCUCUGUAAUUCAAGUGUCCCAAAGAUCCAGUGCCCCCUUCCCCGGUUUGGUUCUCUCACAGUUUAAUCUCUGGAUGAUUUCUUGACUCUUUGGCCAGUUUUUAACUUGUUGAUUCAGAGAUCUAAUUUUUAUUCCAAACUCCCUCUAGACAUUUUCCAGCAUCCCUGGUGAUUUAACUUACCUUUCUAUCUUCCCAGACCACAAUCUUUCUGAUAUGUCUUGUGGUCAUAUGUCUUUCAAGUCAGCAAUACCAGAUUCCACCCCUCUUCACUGUCUGUAUUUUUAUCUUUACCAUUAUAACUUCUGUGUCAUUUUGGACUUCUGUUCCUCCCUUCAAAGUAUCAAAAUCGACAAGAGUAAACAGUGGUCCUUGGCCUUUAGCUGCUUCAUGUGCUGAAGAAGGAAUCCAUGGCAUUACCGACUGUUUUGUGUUUUUAAGACAGUUCAGUUUAGCAAAUUUGAUCCUGUUUUACAACUUCAGAGCUGGAACCUCAAAAGUUCUUGAGUUUGGACCGUGAUUUUAUUUUCUACCGCUUCAAUUGCAGGCUUUGUCUUUCGUUUCUGAACCAUAUGUAACUUUAUCUUGUUCUAUUUCUGCACAUACAGCUAACAGUUAUUUUCUUGUGUUACAGCAGCCUGACUGCAGUGCAUUUAUCUUUGUUUUUAAAGUAAGAAUGUACUUCACAGCUUCAAUGGCUGGGUUCAGUGUCUAAGUGUAUGGCAUGGUGCUCCUCUUCGACACUGUCCCUCUCUUACAGCGGUUUCUCUUAGUUGCUGUUCUGUGUUGUGGAUGUUGGUGGUAUGGCUGAAACUUCCCAACAGUCUUCUGUGAUGUUUUGUUGCUGCGUGACAGCAGUGGGGCAAAAUGGCGUCUGACAUGGAAGUGCGUAUGAAUCAAAGAUGUGUCACUGAAUUCCUCCAUGUGGAAGAUAUGGCCCCUCUAUCAAAUAGUAUUAUCGUGCUCUUUGUGUCUCCUAUUUCCACGGAAGUAAUUGGGAGGCAUUACUUUCAAAGCAGCCUAUGUAGUAACUACUUACUUGCACCAUAGUAAUUCUUUACUUAGAGAGGAUCAGUUCCUGGUUGGCAAAAAGCAGAUUCUUUUAUAAUGUGUGUUGAGUUUUUGUUCUUUUUUGUUGCCGGUUUGUGUAAUCUCAUACCAGUGUUGAAUCCGUUCUUUUACAACUGCUUUAGUGAUGUGUGGAGACCUUACAAUUUUUGUGUGAUAGAAAUCUUUUGUUUGUGUGGAAAUAAAAAGACAUAAGAAACUUAAGAGUCCUUCCUUAUAGUUUCACCCUAGUCCAGCCUCCUGCUAAGAGCAGGAUCAGUGCUGAGUUCAGAACAGGGCUCUGGGCUUCAGCCAUUAGGAUCUUGAAAACCUCCCAACCAGUUGGAUCUUGUAAAUAUCCAGAGAUGGAGAUUGUGUAGCUUCUCUGAGCCACGUGCCAAAAGCUUAUCUAGCCUCACCAUAAGCAUCAUUUUCCUGAGUUUGUCACACUUAUCAGUUUCAGAUCUUGGCUGUCUGUUCUCAUACUAUUCUUCAAAUGUUAUUUGUACUAUAAAACAGGUAAGUCAAAUACUGAAACAAAUUGUUUCAUUUCAUUCAAUGGUAUUUCAUUUUCUCAGAUGGCUCUUGCUAACAAAUGUGUGUGUAGUAAAUAUUAUCCUGUAUGACAUGUACACUACAUUCAUUUUACUGGAGUGUAAAUAAAAAUUUGAGGCAGUAAAAAUUUGAAUGUUCUGUGACAUUUACUACUUAGAUGCCAUCAGUACUUAAUUUCUAAACCUACUAGAUGUUUCUCAACAGAGUAUGGUUCUGCCCACCUUGGUGAAGCAGGGGAUUCAAGAUGCUGGAUGUAACUCGGUGUUUCUGUCUUCUGGAGCAUCCCUCAGGAAAGGUGCUGGUGGAAACUUGCCUGCAGAGAUGGAUCAAAUCUGAGAUUUGGGGCUGGAAUGACUCUGGGGGUGGGUGAAGGGUGGUUUUCAGGGGGGUUUUGGUUAAUUUUCCCAGGUGUUCAACGGGAUAGCAAAACUUAAAACUUUUGACAACACAUUUCUUGGAAGCAAAUGAAAAGUAUGACAUACGCUUAUAAAUUUGAUAAGAAAAAUCACUCUUAAUGAGAUAAUUUUCUUAAAACAAUAAUUCCUUUUUGAUCUUAGGAGAUAGUCUUUAAGAAAAGAUAGAUUUAUGGGGUGGAGGUGGUGUCUGUGUGUCACGUUUGUACUGGAGCAUUUACAGAGUAUGGGCUUGUUGACUUGAUGGUGGAGUGUCACAGCUGUCUGGCAGCUGGGGUCCUUUUCUUACCUCAUUCCACAGCCAUGCAGCACAGGUGGAUGGACAGGAGGUGGUAUCCCAGCAUCCCCUGUGCAGCAUUUGCUUCCAGGCAGGUAAUGGUUUGAGGUGAAAGCUGUAUGUACCCCUCUGCUUGCCAGCAUGAGCCAUGUAGGUCAGAACCUCUGGUUGUGAGGUAUAAGAGAGUUAGGGGGAGACCUUGUCAGCAUGCAUUUUUAUGUAUGUCAGAUUCACUGUGGUGGAACUUCAACUGAUUUUCAGUUAUUUGUGGUGACUUGAUGUGGUUCAAAAGCUUAAGAAAGGAAUUGCAAGUGUUUCAGAGCUUUUACUCUUAUGGAAGAGUAUCUUUUAAGGGUAUAUAAUUAUGCAGUAUUCAUUAUGUAUUCAUAGCAACAAUACUUUUUGUUUGCUUAUUCUAACACAAUUAAGUUAGAGCAUAAUUUUUCUAUACUGUGAUCUAUCAGAAGGAUUAAAAUAGUUCCUUUGUGCUUUCUCUCAUUGGAGAGGAGGAAACUGAAUUCCAAGUCUGUGGUAGAAGUCAGGAAGGCCCUGCUGUUGCAGCUGUAAAGGUUCCACUUGUAGCUGGUGGGAGUUUGUUCCAGGGCAGAAGCUCUGCUAGACAGGUACAAGACAGCUUUCUAAUGAUCAGUUUUAAUGGGCUUUCAGGGAGAAAGGGCUCUUAAAGCAUUCACAUUGCAGUGAGCUUUUUAGUUUUAUGUCCUGUGCCAUAGCAGUAGACUUUGGAAAUAUGAGGGUCUCCAGCUACAGUCCACUCUUAACACAGUUAAGAAUUCAAGGGAUGGCUGCUUGUCCUUUAUUUGGAGCAGGUUUUUAAGAGAGAGGCUAAAAUGUAGAAUGACUGAGAAACCUUUCCUCAGGUGGGGGUUUUUGUAGGUAGUUUGCAUGGGAAGUUGGUAAUUUGAUUAACUGUGUACGGUUGUGUGGUUUUUUUUUUUGAAGUCCAGGUGUUCCAAUUCAGGGCUUGUUUGAUUUUAGGAUGACUUCAACAGCUCAAUCAUGGUAUAAUUGUAGACAUAGGACAGUGGAUUCCCUGUACUAUUUUUGUACUUUCCUGUGUUAUUUUUGUUGUUGCUGUUUGCUUUUGAGAAUUUUUUGCUUGCUUACAGAAAUAGAAAAGUUUGAGAAAGAACACUCUCACAUGUGUUACCAAUUACUUUAUCAUCUUCACUGGAACUGUACUUAAAACUGUGCUGUGUCCCACUCUUGACUACCAUCUCUCAUCUGAUGAGUGCAGAAAUGGUCUUUAAAUAUAGAAGAAAGCAAAAUCAGUUUUUGGGAACAAACACUGGUGAUUUAAAAAAAUUUACAUGAAAUAAAGCAAUAACUGGUUGCUUUUGUUGCUUGUCUUUUUACUUCUACAUAGAUAAAUGGAUGAAUUAAACAGGAGCUUGAAUAUGUGAUGUUUCCCUGUUAGUUUACCAAAAACUUCUUCACUUAAAAAUAUACUUAAAACCCCCUAACUUAAAAUGAUAAUUUUAUAUACAUUUGUGUAUAUGUAGUAGCAAGGCUUGCAAAGUGCUGCAUGCUCCUUUAUAGGAGGGCUUUGUAAGUUACAGUAGUGACCCAGAUGUACUUGCUGUUCCUGACUGCUGCAUUGUGCCGUUGUGAAUGUGUUCAUGUUCUCAUGCUUAAAAUCUAAGGACUGAUCUUUAUGUACAUAAAAUGUAAGGCUUACACCUUAAAAUAAAUAA